rnacentral:misc_RNA from 1 species
GAUGAAGAACGCAGCGAAAUGCGAUACUUGGUGUGAAUUGCAGAAUCCCGUGAACCAUCGAGUCUUUGAACGCAAGUUGCGCCUCAAGCCAUUAGGUUGAGGGCACGUCUGCCUGGGCGUCACAUAUCGUUGCCUGAUGCCAGUUUCCUCGUGAUGGGUGACUGUGCAGGGCGAAUGAUGGCUUCCCGUGAGCAUUGUUGCCUCAUGGUUGGUUGAAAAUUGAGUCCUUGGUAGGGAGCGCCGUGAUAGAUGGUGGUUGAGUGACGAACGAGACCCAAUCAUGUGAGACCCCUACCGAAUUUGGCCUUCAUGACCCACAUGCGUCUUUGGAGCGCUCAUGACGAGACCUCAGGUCAGGCGGGGCUACCCGCUGAGUUUAAGCAUAUCAAUAAGCGGAGGA